CACGUAGGGGGCAAGCGUUGUCCGGAUUUAUUGGGCGUAAAGAGCUCGUAGGCGGUUCGGUAAGUCAGGUGUGAAACCUCCAGGCUCAACCCUGGAGACGCCACCUGAUACUGCUGUGACUCGAGUCCGGUAGGGGAGCGUGGAAUUCCUGGUGUAGCGGUGAAAUGCGCAGAUAUCAGGAGGAACACCAGCGGCGAAGGCGGCGCCUCUGGGCCGGUACUGACGCUGAGACGCGAAAGCGUGGGGAGCGAACAGG
rnacentral:rRNA from 1 species